rnacentral:rRNA from 1 species
GGGCAGCGUGAUUUAAGCUUGCUUCAAUUGGCGGCCACCGGCGCACGGGUGAGUAACGAGUAUUCAACCUUCCGUACAAUUAGGGAUAACCUUUUGAAAGGAAGAUUAAUUCCCGAUGGUGUCAUCAGAUCGCAUGAGAUUAUCAUUAAAGGUUUAUCGGUGAUCGAUGGGGAUGCGUUCCAUUAGUUUGUAGGCGGGGUAACGGCCCACCAAGCCGACGAUGGAUAGGGGUUCUGAGAGGAAGGUCCCCCACAUUGGAACUGAGACACGGUCCAAACUCCUACGGGAGGCAGCAGUGAGGAAUAUUGGUCAAUGGACGAGAGUCUGAACCAGCCAAGUAGCGUGAAGGAUGAAGGCCCUAUGGGUUGUAAACUUCUUUUAUAAGGGAAUAAAGUGUUCCACGUGUGGGAUUUUGUAUGUACCUUAUGAAUAAGGAUCGGCUAACUCCGUGCCAGCAGCCGCGGUAAUACGGAGGAUCCGAGCGUUAUCCGGAUUUAUUGGGUUUAAAGGGAGCGUAGCCGGGUCGUUAAGUCAGUUGUGAAAGUUGCGGCUCAACCGUAACAAUUGCAGUUGAAUACUGGCUUCCUUGAGUAGCGCGUAGAGGUAGGCGGAAUUCGUGGU